CUGCCAUACAGCCAAGUCCAGAGGGAACAGAACAGCUGUUUAAUAAAGCACAUCAACAUCACAGAACAGUGAAGAACAGGAAAUAAAAAUGCAUGUUUUAGGCUGGAGAUACUCCAACUCAAACUACUAUCUGGGCCAGAACCCUUGCUCCAUGCAGGUUGUCCUCCUUGCAGAUCAAAAGACCUGACUUACAAAAGUUAGUCUCAAUUUAAGAAGCAGCGACAAACUGCAAAAGUGUGUUCCUUCAAGACCAUCACAUUACCUGAGACCCAAACUAGCAGACUGAGCACCCCUCAGAGGUCUUUGAGAUUCAAACCAGCAUUGGAAGUGACAGCCCAGAUAACACAGCAAAAUUGGAGAUCAGGACAAGAGGUGGGCCCCACACAUAUGCUGCAAC